rnacentral:rRNA from 1 species
UACGUAGGGGGCUAGCGUUGUCCGGAUUUAUUGGGCGUAAAGAGCGUGUAGGCGGCCAGGUAGGUCUGCUGUGAAAACUCGAGGCUCAACCUCGAGACGUCGGCGGAAACCAUCUGGCUAGAGUCCGGAAGAGGAGAGUGGAAUUCCUGGUGUAGCGUUGAAAUGCGCAGAUAUCAGGAAGAACACCCGUGGCGAAGGCGGCUCUCUGGGACGGUACUGACGCUGCGACGCGAAAGCGUGGGGAGCGAACAGG